GACAGAGGGUGCAAACGUUGUUCGGAAUUACUGGGCGUAAAGCGUGUGUAGGCGGCUAUGUAAGUCGGAUGUGAAAGCCCUGGGCUCAACCCAGGAAGUGCACUCGAUACUGCGUAGCUUGAGUACCGGAGAGGUUGGUGGAAUUCUCGGUGUAGAGGUGAAAUUCGUAGAUAUCGAGAGGAACACCGGUGGCGAAGGCGGCCAACUGGACGAGUACUGACGCUGAGACACGAAAGCGUGGGGAGCGAACAGG
rnacentral:rRNA from 1 species